UGAGGAACAUGACCUUCGGCGGGGGAUAGCCGGCCCAACGGCCGGGUAAUACCGCGUACGACCACAUGGGGACAUCCCCGAGUGGUGAAAGCAGCAAUACGCCGAUGGAGUGCCUCGCGGCCUAUCAGCUAGUUGGUGAGGUAACGGCUCACCAAGGCGACGACGGGUAGCUGGUCUGAGAGGAUGGCCAGCCACAGUUGGGACUGAGACCACGGCCCAGACCUCCGAAACGGGAGCCAG
rnacentral:rRNA from 1 species